rnacentral:rRNA from 1 species
UGAAACCGUUUAGGGGUAAACCUGAGAAACCCGAAAGUUCGAAGGGAGAAAUUCAUUCGCGUCUCGACGACGGCUUCGGAUGGUUACGCGACGGGAACGUUUCGGCGUUCUACGCGCGUUUCCUCCGAUGAACCGACGGCGAACGCGUGCACUUUUCUCCUGGUAGGACGUCGCGAUCCGUCGGGUGUCGAUCUACGAUCCGCGGUGGAGCCCGUUGGCGGCGUUUCGGCGCUCGUCGACGGACCCGUGAAAUCCGGUCGACUCGCUCGACGGUAUACGAACGGUUGGAGGCCGCUUUUUAGCGUUCGACCGAUGGCAAGCACGCCGGACUUGUCGGCGAUCGGACACCGUGCCGAUUCCGACAUCCGGUGACUGUUGGCCGUCGUGUUCUCGGACAGACCUCUCCAAAUUAAAAACCGAUCUGCGACGCUAUAGCUUUGGGUAAUUUCAGGACCCGUCUUGAAACACGGACCAAGGAGUCUAGCAUGUACGCGAGUCAUUGGGAAUCGAUAAACCUAAAGGCGAAAUGAAAGUGAAGAUCUUCCUUGCGGAGAUCGAGGGAAGACGGGUGGUAUCGUCCUUAAAAACGUACCGCCUUGCAUUCCCGGGGCGUCUCGUUCUCAUUGCGAGAUGAGGCGCACCAAGAGCGUACACGCUGGGACCCGAAAGAUGGUGAACUAUGCCUGGUCAGGAUGAA